CAGCUUAUUCCACCCAGAGCAAUUCAGUGCAUUGUAACAUGUACUGGACUGCUUCCUGUAAUUGCUGUCUUGUGCUCUGCAAGACUUUUAGCCACUUUUCCUUCAGUUUUCUUGGUAGUUAGCAUUUUCUGUUUAUCAAGCACAGCAUUAGGUUCCUAUUUCUGUCUCAGAAAUUUGAUAUGAUGUUUCUAGUUAGUUCCGAUUCACUUCUCUAGAUCUUCAUUUAACUUUUAGCCAUGUUUCUUCUGCCUCCUGUGGAAAUGGACUUAAUGCUUUUGCUGUAACUUUAUCUUGAAAUAUUAAUCACAAAUUAAUCAUGGUAAAUCAAGUUGAUGUUUUGCUCUACUAAAAUCUUGUGACUGCAGGUCGGAAGAGUUGGGAGCGAACAGCCUGAGGAAGUGGACUGUGGAAGCUGAAGGUUGUCCAGCCAAAGCUGAGUGUGUGGCUCUGACACUGACCAAGGCUGGAAAGAGUUACUGUGUGGACAGAGAAUGUUAGAGCCGGGUGAGCUUUCACAGGAUGAAAGGAGCGAGGAGAGAAUCGAAUGGAAAGAAUUGCUGAGAUCAGGUAACUACACCAUUUUGUUAUUGACAUAUCUGCCAGAGGAGCCUACAUUACUCCAGUGUAAUUUGUGAGGCAGUUUCUGCUCUAACAAGUUUUUGAAUGCUGCUCAACUGCAAGAGAGCUCCUUCUGGAUGUUUGAAGGUGACAGAAGAGAUGGUCGCAUCCCAGGAGCUUGAUUUUGGAAUGUUUAAUGGAAUUGGCCCAGUAGCUUUUACUUGUGGGCUUUGCAAGUCUGCCCACAGCAGGUCCAGCCUGUGCUUCAACUUAGAGCCCUCAGUGGGCAGGGAAAUGGACCUUGGAGAGAUUGUUACAGCUCUACUUAACGCUUUCUGAAUUGGGAUGAUUUUCUGGAAGUAGGCUGUCCAUUCUGACCCAUUUUCUUCUCUCUCCUUGCAGACUGUAGCUGCUAAAAGGCUGAGGUGAGACCAGGAUCUGCAAAAUCUCUGACUCUCCAUGUCUUCCCAAGGCUGAAGCCGUGUUUGCUGUCAAUGACAACCCAGUGGAAGAUGCUAAAGACUGAAAACUUUGGGGUUUUUCCCCUGAAUCCCACGACACUCUCUGCAGCUGUGCCCUGCAUAUCUCUUAAAAGAGUUUCCGGCUUUAGAAGGGUUUUACCCUGUGCAAUAUUGAUCUAUAAGUCAAUGAAAAAGAAUCUUACUGUAUCAAUGUGAUGUUACUUGGUUUGAGUUGUUUAAUUAAAGCAUAUCAUUGAUAAGGGGUUUGAGAAUCCCUUGGACGGCCCUUGGGGCUGGCAGCUCUGAUUUAUUUUCUCUUCA